GCUGAGUGGAACUGUGAGAGGAGGAGAAGAGAAGAAAGGAUCAGAUUUGACUCAUCAAAGAGGAAAACCAAACUUGGAGGAACCAAAGACAACAUCAAGACAACACCUCUGCUCCCAGAUCAAGUUAGGAAGCCUGAAAAGACCUGAGAGGACACACACAGGAGAGAAGCCAUACCAUUGCGGCCAGUGUGGAAAGAGUUUUAGCCUGUUAGGAAGCCUGAAAGCUCAUGAGCGAAUACACUCAGGAGAGAAGCUAUACCAUUGUGGCCAGUGUGGAAAUAGUUUUAGCCAGUUAGGAAACAUGAAAAGACAUGGGAGGAUACACACAGGGGAGAAGCCAUACCACUGCUCCCAUUGCGGAAAGAGUUUUAACCAUUUACUUAACAUGAAAAGACAUGAGAGGAUACACACAGGAGUGAAGCCUCACCAUUGCUCCCAGUGUGGAAAGAGUUUUACGCAGUUAGGUAUCCUCAAAGAUCAUUUGCGAAUACACACAGGGGAGAAGCCUUACUACUGCUCCCAUUGUGGAAAGAGUUUUAACCAUUUACUUAACAUGAAAAGACAUGAGAGGAUACACACAGGAGUGAAGCCUCACCAUUGCUCCCAGUGUGGAAAGAGUUUUAUGCGG